rnacentral:rRNA from 1 species
AUGCUUAACACAUGCAAGUCGAACGAACGAUAUAGAAAAGAAGCUUCGGUGGACUUUUUAUAAAGUUAGUGGCAAACGGGUGAGUAAUGCAUAAGUAAUCUGCCCUUAAGUCUGGGAUAACUUUUCGAAAGGAAAGCUAAUACCGGAUACACUCAUUUUUACAUAAGUAUUUAUGAGGAAAGGUUUACUGCUUAAGGAUGAGCUUAUGUCUGAUUAGCUUGUUGGUGAGGUAAUGGCUCACCAAGGCUCCGAUCAGUAGCUGGUUCGAGAGGACGAACAGCCACACUGGGACUGAGAUACGGCCCAGACUCCUACGGGAGGCAGCAGUGGGGAAUAUUGCGCAAUGGGCGAAAGCCUGACGCAGCGACGCCGCGUGAGCGAUGAAGCCUUUCGGGGUGUAAAGCUCUGUCAAGAGGGAAGAUUAUGACGGUACCUCUGAAGGAAGUCACGGCUAGUUACGUGCCAGCAGCCGCGGUAAUACGUAAGUGGCAAGCGUUAUCCGGAUUUAUUGGGCAUAAAGAGCACGUAGGCGGUUUUUUAAGUCAGAUGUUAAAUCCUACAGCUUAACUGUAGUCAAGCAUUUGAAACUGAAAAACUAGAGAUCAGUAGAGGGAAGUGGAACUCACGGUGUAGCGGUGAAAUGCGUAGAUAUCGGAAGGAACACCAGUGG